GAAGGGAUAGCUCAGUUGUAGAGCAUUCGACUGCAGAUCGAGUAGUCCCCGGUUCAAACACGGGAGUCUUCUUCA
rnacentral:tRNA from 1 species